rnacentral:lncRNA from 1 species
AAUUUUGACACAAGGUCUAUGACCACAAAAGGAAGGUUGGGAUUGAUUUUGGGAGUUUUGGUUCCAACAGUUUAGGAAUUAAGGGCCAAAAAAAGGGCCCAAAUAAGCAUUAUUCUUGGUUUUCGCACAAUAACUUUAGUAUAAGUAAAUAGAAAUCAAUGAAAUUUUAACACAAGGUUUAUGACCACAAAAGGAAGGUUGGGAUUGAUUUUUGGAGUUCAGGUCACAACAGUUUAUGAAUUAGGGGCCAAAAAGGGACCCAAAUAAGCAUUAUUUUUGGUUUUUGCAC